rnacentral:rRNA from 1 species
UACGUAGGGUGCAAGCGUUAAUCGGAAUUACUGGGCGUAAAGCGUGCGCAGGCGGUUAUGUAAGACAGGCGUGAAAUCCCCGGGCUUAACCUGGGAACUGCAUUUGUGACUGCAUAGCUAGAGUACGGUAGAGGGGGAUGGAAUUCCGCGUGUAGCAGUGAAAUGCGUAGAUAUGCGGAGGAACACCGAUGGCGAAGGCAAUCCCCUGGACCUGUACUGACGCUCAUGCACGAAAGCGUGGGGAGCGAUCCGG